rnacentral:rRNA from 1 species
AACGAACGCUGGCGGCAUGCCUAACACAUGCAAGUCGAACGAGACCUUCGGGUCUAGUGGCGCACGGGUGCGUAACGCGUGGGAAUCUGCCCUGGGGUGCGGAAUAACUCGGAGAAAUCCGUGCUAAUACCGCAUAAUGUCUUCGGACCAAAGAUUUAUCGCCCUGGGAUGAGCCCGCGUAGGAUUAGCUAGUUGGUGGGUAAAGGCCUACCAAGGCGACGAUCCUUAGCUGGUCUGAGAGGAUGAUCAGCCACACUGGGACUGAGACACGGCCCAGACUCCUACGGGAGGCAGCAGUGGGGAAUAUUGGACAAUGGGCGAAAGCCUGAUCCAGCAAUGCCGCGUGAGUGAUGAAGGCCCUAGGGUGUAAAGCUCUUUUACCCGGGAUGAUAAUGACAGUACCGGGAGAAUAAGACUCCGGCUAACUCCGUGCCAGCAGCCGCGGUAAU